rnacentral:rRNA from 1 species
AUGUCUCGCUCCAAGGUCGACCCCUCUGACGCCGGCUCCUUUGCCGGUGCCAUGUUCACCUCGGAUCGUCUCAAUGAGCUCCACAUCAAGGAUCAUGUGCACGUCAUCCUCGACCUCGACUCGCCGUCCUACAACGCAUGGCGCACGUACUUUGCGCUUUUGUUCCGCUCCUACCGUCUCAUCGAACACGUUGAUGGGAGCGUCGACUUCCGCGACAUGAAGGACGAUGACGAGUGGCUUGCCGUGGACGCCUGCAUCAUCAAGUGGCUCUUCCUCACCAUCUCUCCAGGCCUCUUCAACAUGGUGAACUCCCGUGAGCCCUCGGCGUACGCCAUGUGGACACGGCUGUGCGAUCUCUUCCUCGACAAUCAGCUCCAACGCUGUGUCUUUCUCCAAGGUGAAUUCUUCACUAUGCAGCAAAAUGAUCUUUCGAUCGAUGAAAUACUCCUCACCAACCUCCUUUGGGGCCUCCACCCCGACCUCGGCCAAUCCGCCGCCAACCUCUCCCUCGUCACGCCAACGUACGCGAAGGCGGUCACGUACCUUCGUAUGGAGGAGAAGCGCCUCCGCCACUCCGCCCGGCAGGCCACCCACGCUGCUCUUCACGUUGGCGUCGCCGCCGGCCACGGUGCUUCCCCAACUCAGCCGGGGCCGCGCGCGUCUGCUCCUGCCCCGCCACCCGCGCCUGCGGUUGUUCGCGGCUUUGCACAACAUGCCGGCGUUGAUUUCUCAGAGACCUUCUCUCCGGUUGUCAAACCCGCCACGAUUCGUGUUGUUCUUCAGCUCGCUGCAUCUCGUCAUUGGCCUGUUCAUCAGCUCGACAUCAACAACGCCUUUCUUUAUGGUCAUCUCCAGGAGCGUGUUCUCUGUCAGCAGCCUACUGGUUUUGUUGAUCCCACUCGGCCUGAUGAUGUCUGCUUGCUCUCACGGUCUCUAUAUGGUCUGAAACAGGCGCCUCGUGCUUGGUAUCAACGCAUUGCAGCAUUCCUCACUGCUCUUGGGUUUCGUAGCACCACCUCGGACACAUCGCCAUUUGUGCUUCAUCGAGCUGAUCAUGUCGCCAUGCUUCUCUUGUAUGUUGACGAUAUUGUCAUCACCGCCUCUCGCGCGGAUCUACUUCGCGACAUCAUCGGUCGUCUUGGUUCUGAGUUUCGGCUGAAGGACUUGGGCGCAUUGCACUUCUUCCUCGGCAUUAAUGUGCGACGUGAUGCCUCCGGAUUCUUUCUUCAUCAAGGACAAUAUGCUCUUGAUCUCCUGGAUCGUGCUGGUAUGACCGACUGCAAGCCUGCUGCCACUCUUGCCGAGGCCAAGCCGAAGCUUUCUGCUACUGCUGGGCAACCUGCCACUGAUGCCGCUCUCUACAGCAGUAUUGUUGGUGCUCUUCAGUACCUCGCGCUCACCAGACCAGACAUUCAGUUUGCGGUGCAGCAAGUUUGCUUGCAUAUGCACUCGCCCCGUGAUGUUCACUAG